CUGAAAGAAUCCAUGUUUUUGUCGACAGUCACAGUUUUGUAAUAAUGUCAUAAUCACAACAAUUUAUCGUAAUCACUAUAAUCACUAUAAUGAGUAAUAAUAGGAAAAGGUUUUAAAAUUGUUAAAACCACCAAUGCGUUAUUUUACAAAAAAAGAAAAAGAAACUAUAUGUGUUACUUAAAAGGAUAAUCAUUUGUAUGAACCUAGAAUAAGAAAAGAAACUAUAAUAUACGUAUAGUUUUGUGCAAAUAUCGGAUCUUAAAACAUGAUAUGAGGCAUAUAAACAAACAUGAUUAUCUUUCCAUAAAUCAGAAGGCAGCUACUAGGUGACUUAAUAUAUAUAAUAUUUAUGGACCAAUGCGUUAGAGCAAGAUACGAGAUAUUUUAUAUUAUUUAAAAAUGUUAUAUGUAUUCAUAAUUACGUCUAUUUUAUAAGAAAUAAAACUGGUGUUGGAUUGUUUUAAGAAAUAUAACACGAUAAUUAAGAAUAAAUGCAUGUAUAAUGCUUGUAUUUUGCAUAUUGAUAACAGUAGUGAAUAUAUAAACAACAGUUUGAAAGAUUUUCUUAUUUGUGAAGGAAUAACUCAUAGUGCAUUGCUUUGUACAUUCCAGAAAGAAAUCCGUACAAUAGCAGAAUUGUUUAUAGCUGUUCUAUUGACUGGACGUUCGCAAAAAAUCUUUGGCAAUGUUUUCUAUAACGCUAUAGUUGUUUCAUGUACUCAUCUUGUACUACAUACAUUUAACGACAAAUAUAUAUUUAACGUGCGAUCAAUUGCAAUUUAACCAAUUUAAAAG